rnacentral:rRNA from 1 species
UCCAGACUCCUACGGGAGGCAGCAGUGGGGAAUAUUGCACAAUGGGGGGAACCCUGAUGCAGCGACGCCGCGUGAGUGAAGAAGUAUUUCGGUAUGUAAAGCUCUCUCAGCAGGGAAGAAAAUGACGGUACCUGACUAAGAAGCCCCGGCUAACUACGUGCCAGCAGCCGCGGUAAUACGUAGGGGGCAAGCGUUAUCCGGAUUUACUGGGUGUAAAGGGAGCGUAGACGGCUGGUCAAGUCUGAAGUGAAAGCCCGGGGCUUAACCCCGGAACGGCUUUGGAAACUGAGCAGCUAGAGUGCUGGAGAGGUAAGCGGAAUUCCUAGUGUAGCGGUGAAAUGCGUAGAUAUUAGGAGGAACACCAGUGGCGAAGGCGGCUUACUGGACAGUAACUGACGUUGAGGCUCGAAAGCGUGGGGAGCAAACAGGAUUAGAUACCCGGGUAC